GUGCCAGCCGCCGCGGUAAUACCGGCAGCUCGAGUGAUGGCCACUCUUAUUGGGCCUAAAGCGUCCGUAGCUGGCCGCGCAAGUCCAUCGGGAAAUCCACCUGCUCAACAGGUGGGCGCCCGGUGGAAACUGUGCGGCUUGGGACCGGAAGGCGUGACGGGUACGUCCGGGGUAGGAGUGAAAUCCCGUAAUCCUGGACGGACCGCCGAUGGCGAAAGCACGUCGCGAGAACGGAUCAGACAGUGAGGGACGAAAGCUCGGGUCUCAAACCGGAUUAGAUACCCUAGUAGUCC
rnacentral:rRNA from 1 species